GCUUCCUACGGGAGGCAGCAGUAGGGAAUCUUCCGCAAUGGACGCAAGUCUGACGGAGCAACGCCGCGUGAGUGAUGAAGGUUUUCGGAUCGUAAAGCUCUGUUGCCAGGGAAGAAUAAGUACGUUAGUCACUGAACGUAUGAUGACGGUACCUGAGAAGAAAGCCCCGGCUAACUACGUGCCAGCAGCCGCGGUAAUACGUAGGGGGCAAGCGUUGUCCGGAAUUAUUGGGCGUAAAGCGCGCGCAGGCGGUUUUUUAAGUCCGAUGUAUAAGCCCGGGGCUCAACCCCGGGAGGCAUGGGAAACUGGGAGGCUUGAGUACAGAAGAGGAGAGUGGAAUUCCACGUGUAGCGGUGAAAUGCGUAGAUAUGUGGAGGAACACCAGUGGCGAAGGCGACUCUCUGGUCUGUAACUGACGCUGAGGCGCGAAAGCGUGGGGAGCAAACAGGAUUAGAUACCCUGGUAGUCCACGCUGUAAACGAUGAAUGCUAGGUGUCAGGGGUUUCAAUACCCUGGGUGCCGAAGUUAACACAUUAAGCAUUCCGCCUGGGGAGUACGGUCGCAAGACUGAAACUCAAAGGAAUUGACGGAAGC
rnacentral:rRNA from 1 species